rnacentral:rRNA from 1 species
AAAUUGAAGAGUUUGAUCAUGGCUCAGAUUGAACGCUGGCGGCAGGCCUAACACAUGCAAGUCGAACGGUAACAGGAAGCAGCUUGCUGCUUCGCUGACGAGUGGCGGACGGGUGAGUAAUGUCUGGGAAACUGCCUGAUGGAGGGGGAUAACUACUGGAAACGGUAGCUAAUACCGCAUAACGUCGCAAGACCAAAGAGGGGGACCUUCGGGCCUCUUGCCAUCGGAUGUGCCCAGAUGGGAUUAGCUAGUAGGUGGGGUAACGGCUCACCUAGGCGACGAUCCCUAGCUGGUCUGAGAGGAUGACCAGCCACACUGGAACUGAGACACGGUCCAGACUCCUACGGGAGGCAGCAGUGGGGAAUAUUGCACAAUGGGCGCAAGCCUGAUGCAGCCAUGCCGCGUGUAUGAAGAAGGCCUUCGGGUUGUAAAGUACUUUCAGCGGGGAGGAAGGGAGUAAAGUUAAUA